AUUGAACGCUGGCGGAAUGCUUUGCACAUGCAAGUCGAACGGUAGAGGGGGCAACCCCUCGAGAGUGGCGAACGGGUGAGUAAUAUAUCGGAGCGUGCCCAGUCGUGGGGGAUAACGUAGCGAAAGUUACGCUAAUACCGCAUACGAUCUAAGGAUGAAAGCGGGGGAUCGCAAGACCUCGCGCGAUUGGAGCGGCCGAUAUCAGAUUAGGUAGUUGGUGGGGUAAAGGCUCACCAAGCCAACGAUCUGUAGCUGGUCUGAGAGGACGACCAGCCACACUGGAGAUGAGACACGGUCCAGACUCCUACGGGAGGCAGCAGUGGGGAAUUUUGGACAAUGGACGCAAGUCUGAUCCAGCCAUUCCGCGUGCAGGAUGAAGGCCCUCGGGUUGUAAACUGCUUUUGUACGGAACGAAAAGGUCUCUCUUAAUACGGGGGACUCAUGACGGUACCGUAAGAAUAAGCACCGGCUAACUACGUGCCAGCCGCCGCGGUAACAC
rnacentral:rRNA from 1 species